UACAGAGGUCUCAAGCGUUGUUCGGAUUCAUUGGGCGUAAAGGGUGCGUAGGUGGCGGGGUUAGUCAGGUGUGAAAUCUCGAGGCUCAACCUUGAAACUGCACUUGAUACUGCCUUGCUUGAGUACUGGAGAGGAGAUUGGAAUUACGGUGUAGCAGUGAAAUGCGUAGAUAUCGUAAGGAAGACCAGUGGCGAAGGCGAAUCUCUGGACAGUUACUGACACUGAGGCACGAAGGCCAGGGGAGCAAACCGGG
rnacentral:rRNA from 1 species